rnacentral:rRNA from 1 species
UACAGAGGUCCCAUGCGUUGUUCGGAUUCACUGGGCGUAAAGGGUGCGCAGGUGGUCGGGUAAGUCUGAUGUGAAAUCCCGCAGCUUAACUGCGGAAUGGCAUUGGAUACUAUUCGGCUAGAGGGUUGGAGGGGGGACUGGAAUUCUCGGUGUAGCAGUGAAAUGCGUAGAUAUCGAGAGGAACACCAGUGGCGAAGGCGAGUCCCUGGACAACUCCUGACGCUGAGGCACGAAAGCUAGGGGAGCAAACAGG